GUGAGGAAUAUUGCGCAAUGGAGGCAACUCUGACGCAGCCAUGCCGCGUGCAGGAAGAAGGCGCUACGCGUUGUAAACUGCUUUUAACCGGGAAGAAACCCCAGGACGUGUCCUGGGUUGACGGUACCGGAGGAAUAAGCACCGGCUAACUUCGUGCCAGCAGCCGCGGUAAUACGAAGGGUGCAAGCGUUAUCCGGAUUCAUUGGGUUUAAAGGGUGCGUAGGCGGAGCGUUAAGUCCGUGGUGAAAUCCUGCAGCUUAACUGUAGACUUGCCAUUGAUACUGGCGCUCUUGAGUGCGCUUGAAGUGGGCGGAAUGUGCCGUGUAGCGGUGAAAUGCUUAGAUAUGGCACAGAACACCAAUUGCGAAGGCAGCUCACUAAGGCGAUACUGACGCUGAGGCACGAAAGCGUGGGGAUCGAACAGGAUUAGAAACCCGUGUAGUCC
rnacentral:rRNA from 1 species